rnacentral:misc_RNA from 1 species
GAAAUGCGAUACUUGGUGUGAAUUGUAGAAUCCCACGAACCAUCGAGUCUUUGAAUGCAAGUGGCGCCCGAAGCCAUUAGGUUGAGGGCACAUCUGCCUGGGCGUCUCACGUUGCGUCACCCGAGCCCCCUCCUCCACCAAAGGGAAGGAGGGCUGCGGGCGGAUGUUGGCCCCACGCGCCCGCAUGUUCGGCCCAAAAACGAGUCCCCCGCGAUGGACGACGCGUCGCGAUGAGUGGUGGAUGACAAACCGUUGCAUUGGCUCGCGCGCGUCCUAGCCAUCUCGGGAGGCCUAUCGUGACCCUACCGCGCCGGCGCGAAGGCGUUCCGAUCGCGACCCCAGGUUAUGUGGGAUCACCCGUUGAGUUUAA